GCGGGCUGCAGAAGGCUGUCCCGUGGGCACCGGCGAUCGGGGCUCAGAGAAACUGGCACGGCAGACUGUGUGUGGCUCCUGGUCCCAUCUUGGAGCUGCAGGAUUCCAACCAACCAGAGGGGUCUGUGGUCCCCCCGGAAGCCAACACCAGCUGCAGCCACUGCCAACAGUGUGGGUCAUAAGGGAUCAGAAUGUCCUAUAUGUUUGUGAACAUAAUUCGUCCCGGGAACAUGCUCGUGAUCCAAAGCACUGGUGUAUCAAAGCGAAUUUCCCCGUAAGAAAGAACAGAAGCUCAGAUGAUUCGUUCCACACCCCGAAAGUAUUCAUAUGCAAAGGAUUACAAUACUGUAAUAUAAUACAAAAUAAUAAAGAAAAACACAUCAAUCCCCAACCUUCAUGGCUGGUGUGAGGGAGACCAGAGAGAGGAGGGUUAUUGCGUAGGACGACUUUCACUAUCACUAAUGGAAUCACUGCUAUCUUUUGGCUCAGCGGAAUUUUCUUCUGCGUGGGGGCCAUUGCGUAGACUUGCACGGAUGUUGUCUACAGCAUUAACAAACUCUUGUCAUACUGUCUUUAAUGUAACUGGCAAUAAGGCAGCAGAGGAAAGGGUCUCUGUCAGCAGGCAGCCUGACCUAGAAGGAAGCAAAACAUUCCCAAGCUCACUCUUGUCUGGAAAAGCAAGUGACUGUCCAUUGGUGCUUUGACGUGACAAAAAAUACACAAGUGCCUGUCGUGGGCACCUUCCAAUGUCCUGAAAAAUCGCUGAUUUCGGCCAAACACCUGGCCCUGAGACUGAGCAUCCAAACAUGGGAGAGGAUCACCCACAAUCCCGCAGAGAGAGAGAGAGAGAGAGAGAGAGAAGAACCAUUGGCUCAGCUGCGAUCAUGUGACGUUCGGUGUCACGUAAGACUCGUAUUGCAAGACAGAGCUCGUCUAUCGAGUUAAAAUGUGCUAGGAAUGUUUGCUGGUCUCGCGGAACUCUCGCAGAGCAAGUUACGCGCAAUCCAAGGUUUCACUGCACUUGGGGUCACACGCUGUGUGGCUUUCGGAUUGGCUCCCUCACUCAAUAAUAUACACUUAAGGCUCUCCCGUGUCUUUCCGUGGCUGGGGAGCUCAUUCUUUUUGGCACUGAACAAUAUUCCAUUGUCUGGACGGACCACAGUUUAUUUAUCCAUCCACCUACUGAAGGACAUCUUGGCCACUUCCGAGUUUUGGCAAUUAUGAAUAAAGCCGCUAUAAACAUCCGUGUGCAGGUUUUUGUGUGGACAUAAGUUUGCAGCUCCUUUGGGUAAAUACCAAAGAGUGCGAUUGCUGGAUCAUAUGGUAAGCCUAUGUUUAGCUUUGUAAGAAAGUGCUUUGUUGUUUU